GAGGAGGGGGGCAAAACUGUCUUCCUCCUAGCACUGAUGUGAGGAUGAAAUGAAAUAAUGCAUGUAAAUUUUCAUUAUGAGACCCAGCAUCUACACCCACAGGACAAGCAAAAAAGGGGAAAUCAGUGUUUGCCGGGGCUCCUAGCAGUGGGUGACGCUGCCUCUCCCCACAGCUGCCCAGUCAGCAACAGGCUGCUCGGGGAGCCUGCGGGCCAACGGGGCCUCCCAGGAGGUGACGCUGGCCUUCAACCUGUUCCGCUUCUCGACCAGCGACACGCUCUGCCUGCAGAGCCGAGUGACCCUGUGUGACAAGCGGGCGGGACGCCCGUGUCCGCCGACCUGUAGUCAGAAGAGUCCUCCUGGUAGGAAUCAAGCCUGGGAGAUCUCGGCUCGGGAGGGUCUGGAGAGCGGCGCUGGCUGGAUGGUGUUCGGGCCCAUUAGAUCAAGUGAGCCCAAUGCCUCCUGUAGCAGGAGUUUGGCAGGUUGGUACACAGCAAUUGCUGUGAUAAAGUUCUGAUGACUGCGCCAGGGUCUGGGGGUGCACACUGGCUUCUGGAGGGUGCUGGUCUUGGAUCUCGUCCCUGCUUAACAGUAUGUGACUUGGGAGAGGUCAGUUACCCUAAGUCUCAGCUUCCUCAGCUGUACAUGGUAGAGUUGUCAUUGUGAAGUUGUUGGUAGUCAUAGUUAGACUUUUAUCCCUCAUCAGAACCUGAGGCUUUCCAGAAAUGAUUUAGGGUACGGGUUGAAAUUUCGAGAUACAAGGCCAUGAAGGUAACAACAAGUGAGAGGGGUUGAGUGGGGUCCACACUGAGAUAGAGAGUUCAUCUCUGUGUCUCCAACCACCUCCCCCCCAGUCUAACAGAGGAACUGGCACAUGGUGAGUCCCAGGAAGGCUUUGUUGAAAGAAUGCAUGAAUGACUUACAGAACAAUCCCCAAAGUGGAGUAUCUAAGCCUAAAAAGUUUCCCAGGCUCUCAAAGCCACCUAAUUCUGCUUUAUAAUCAUUUCUUUCUUUCCUGCAGGAUCCUGGAUGACCAUCUUUCUUCUGAUGGCGAUAAGCUGGAUGCCAGGAUAAAAUCCUGCCCAGACACCUCCCCCAACUCUAGUCCUUAGCCUUUAGUUUAGUUGCCUGAGGCAAGGGUAGGGUGGAGGAAGAUUUAGGGAGAGGCAAGUAGUCUGUCCUCUUGUUAGGGACCAGAGAGGUUGAGGGUGAAGAUGGAAUCCAUGUGUGACCCAACUACUGUCUGGUUAGGAGUGUGACCACUGAGCCUUGGGCAGUGCUUCCUCAUCCCACCUUCCCUUCCCAUCUCGGGAACUCUUCCAAUGGUGGGAUUGGGCAGCUCAGUAUUGUAAGGGGCAGGGCAGAGGGUAUGGCCAAUAAACA